GCGCCCGUAGCUCAGUGGAUAGAGCGGAUGGCUUCGGACCAUCAGGCCGGGGGUUCGAAUCCCUCCGGGCGCGCCA
rnacentral:tRNA from 2 species